rnacentral:rRNA from 1 species
GGAAUAUUGGACAAUGGGCGCAAGCCUGAUCCAGCCAUGCCGCGUGCAGGAUGACGGUCCUAUGGAUUGUAAACUGCUUUUAUACAGGAAGAAACCCUGGUUCGUGAACCAGCUUGACGGUACUGUAAGAAUAAGGAUCGGCUAACUCCGUGCCAGCAGCCGCGGUAAUACGGAGGAUCCAAGCGUUAUCCGGAAUCAUUGGGUUUAAAGGGUCCGUAGGCGGUUUAGUAAGUCAGUGGUGAAAGCCCAUCGCUCAACGGUGGAACGGCCAUUGAUACUGCUAAACUUGAAUUAUUAGGAAGUAACUAGAAUAUGUAGUGUAGCGGUGAAAUGCUUAGAGAUUACAUGGAAUACCAAUUGCGAAGGCAGGUUACUACUAAUGGAUUGACGCUGAUGGACGAAAGCGUGGGUAGCGAACAGGAUUAGAUACCCUGG